UUGGGUUCUGAAGAAACAUUCUAGAAGGGUUAACUUCCCUUCUCUCCAAAGCCAUAUUUAGCACAUUCAGGCAUCACCAGGGGAUCAUCUGACAUGGCUGAGGUGGUAAGGCAUCUGGUUCUCCCGUGUGCUGGAUCCUAGACAUGUAGAAGCCUGCAGUGUUGGGCAAUGGUCGGUGUCCAGCCAGCUACUUGAGCAUGCAUGGAGGAACUGUGUUAAAAUUUGUCUGUGGAUUUCUUUGCUAUACUGAAGGAAACAGAUUCAAAGGGGAGGGUAGACGGGAACAACAAUAACCAACCUGAAAGCACAAAGGUGACUUUGAAGAUGUAUGUGCCCAGGUGGAGGCAGGGACAUCUGUAGCUCAUCACAGGAUUUAUAAAUCUUUCCCAAAGAAUGACCUCAUGUGUUUGUAUUUAAGCUUGAUAGUCAAAUAAAAUACAUAGUUUUGAAAAUAAAAGAAUAAAGAAAUGGAAAGUAAGAAUAGGUCCGGCAACACUAGUUGGUAACUUCAUCUGUCACCUGUAGUUCCAUCGUGGGAAGAUUUGGAAGCCCCUAUCCUAGUAACUAACUCCUCCUUACCUAGUGCCACAGACUAGGGGUGUGAAGUCCUAUAGGUCCAAUAGCCAACAGAAACCUAGGAUAAUGAACGUUUGAUACAUCGACACAAUGGGAUUAUAUUCAACUAUAAAGAAAAAUAAAAUUUAAAAAACUUCAGGAUGUAUCUAGAAAGCAUACUGAGCAAGUGACCCAAACUCAGAAAAUGAAAAGCCAUAUAUUCUGUCUUAUGUGUAGAUCUUAAUUUGUUGCAUAUAUAUGUAUGUGGUGUGUGUGAAAUAGAUAAUUUUGGUUUCUUGGGAGAUUCAGCUGUGUUAUGUGAUGUUUCUCUGUAAACUGACUUAUGAGCGGAUGUUUUGGCUGAAGCAGAUACGUGGGAGGAUGUUUUGCUAAGAACAGACAGGUGGUGUUUUUCUGGAGGCAGCCUGGGAAAUGGGCAUAUGAUGUUUUGUCAGAGAGGAUGCUUGAGAGAACACAUGAUGUGUGGAAAGGACAUAAAUAUAGUCAAAAGGACAGUGGACAAAGCUAGAUGGUAUUGGUACACCUUGCCAUUCUUUAUUGGUCUCCAUUUGUCAUGACCAACGAUCUUCUUGUGAUGUUCCAGUGGCUUCUUGCUGCUUCCACAGAUUCCAGCCCAUUGGCAGCGCUGUUCAGUUUCUUCUGGAUCAAUCUGCUGUUGCUGAUUUGUGAAUGGUGUUUGUGAGUGGAUGGAGCUGCAGCUGCUGAUUUGUGUGAACUAAACUGCUGAUAUCCUGCCCCAAAGAUUGGAAUUGCCCCAAAGAACUGUUUCUGAACAGGUACAGUCUCUCCCUUCCGCCUAUGAAGCAUUCUAAAGUGUUUUUUAAUUAAAGUACAAGUCAUUAAACUCAUUGGAUUGCUGGAAAAGAGAGUGGUCCCCUGAGACUGGUGUAUAUCUGGUUCUUCACUUUGGAUCAUGUGAGUAUCUCCAGGUUAUCUUACAGUUAUCCAUAAGAAGCCAUUAAUUCUUCAUUAACCUAUCCAGAA
rnacentral:lncRNA from 1 species